rnacentral:rRNA from 1 species
AACGAACGUUGGCGGCGUGGAUUAGGCAUGCAAGUCGAACGAAUCCCUGGGGGCUUGCUCUCAGGGGGAAGUGGCGAAAGGGGCAGUAAGGCGUGGGUAACCUACCCCGGGGAUCGGGAUAGCCACCCUAACGGGUGGGUAAUACCGGGCGAUGUAACGGCGGCGCCUGUCGCGGUUACCAAAGGAAUUUCGCCCCGGGACGGGGCUCACGUGGUAUUAGCUUGUUGGUGGGGUAACGGGCUCACCAAGGCAAAGAUGCCUAGCGGGUGUGAGAGCACGACCCGCGCCACUGGCACUGAGACACUGGCCAGACUCCUACGGGAGGCUGCAGUCGAGGAUCUUCGGCAAUGGGCGCAAGCCUGACCGAGCGACGCCGCGUGCACGAUGAAGGCCUUCGGUU